CAUGGCUCAGGACGAACGCUGGCGGCGUGCUUAACACAUGCAAGUCGAACGGUGAAGGGACCAGCUUGCUGGUUCUGGAUGAGUGGCGAACGGGUGAGUAACACGUGAGUAACCUGCCCCCUUCUUCUGGAUAACCGCAUGAAAGUGUGGCUAAUACGGGAUAUUCUGGGUCUGUCGCAUGACGGGCCCGGGAAAGAUAUUGCUUCGGUGGGGGAUGGGCUCGCGGCCUAUCAGCUUGUUGGUGGGGUGAUGGCCUACCAAGGCGGUGACGGGUAGCCGGCCUGAGAGGGUGGACGGUCACACUGGGACUGAGACACGGCCCAGACUCCUACGG
rnacentral:rRNA from 1 species